rnacentral:rRNA from 1 species
CUACGGGGUGCACCAGUCGGGAAAAUUUUGCAAUGCACGAAAGUGUGACAAAGCGAGCCAGAGUGUUUCUCUUAUUUGAGAAACUUUUGUCAGCUGUAAAAAGGCUGAUGAAUAAGGAUUGGGAGAGACCGGUGCCAGCCGCCGCGGUAAUACCGGCGAUCCGAGUCGCAGCCAUAAUUAUUGGGUCUAAAACAUCCGUAGCUUGUUCUGUAAGUCUCUUGUGAAAUCUUACAUCUCAAGUGUAAGACGUGCAAGAGAUACUACAAAACUAGAGACUGGAAGACGUAGCGAGUACGACUGAGGUAGUGGUAAAAUACGUUAAUCUUGGUUGGACUAACAAUGGCGAAGGCACGCUACGAGGACAGAUCUGACAGUGAGGGAUGAAGGCUAGGGGCGCAAAAUGGAUUAGAUACCCCCGUAGUC